UACGGAGGGGGCCAGCGUUGUUCGGAAUUAUUGGGCGUAAAGCGCGCGUAGGCGGCCGCGCAAGUCGGUCGUGAAAACCCUCGGCUCAACCGGGGAAUGGCGUCCGAAACUGCAUGGCUUGAGUCCUGGAGAGGGUAGUGGAAUUCCCAGUGUAGCGGUGAAAUGCGUAGAUACUGGGAGGAACACCGGUGGCGAAGGCGGCUACCUGGACAGGUACUGACGCUGAGGCGCGAAAGCUAGGGGAGCAAACAGG
rnacentral:rRNA from 1 species